rnacentral:lncRNA from 1 species
CGACUCUGGUGACUUCGUGCCUCAUAUUUCUACAAGACUACUAAGGUUAGGCCCUUACCCACACCAGACUCAACUAUUUAAUAUCAACAAUUAGCAUGAAUCAUUUAGUUCUCCAAAUAAAUGCACAUAACAUGCUGAUGUCCAUUUGGGUUUAGGAAACCCAAUGGACUUUGGACGAAGCUAUCUUAAAGAAUCAUUAUUACAUAACUCACCUGACUAGGUUUGACCAUGAUGCAUGCACAGUUUGAAUAGAGUAUGGUUUUUAUGAGGUUGUAUACUGGUACAUUUGAGCAGACAGCUCAAGGGGGGAAGGCAUGGAACUGUCGACUGCACUGCUGAUCAACUAGUUUUAUUGCAAAUAUUUCUUUCAGGAUUUAGAGGGUAAUUAUAUAGGAAUAGAACAACCACUCAUUAUAAGCGUUGCUAUGGAAUUUGUUUGGCACGAGUGGAGUAUGAUAUUGAGCAUUAUUAUACAAUAAUUAAAAGCAUGUUGGCACAUAUUUGUAUGUUAAGAAAGUAGUAAAUACAACAAUUUCAUAAUUUAUAGUGGCAAUAAAGGAAAUAAAUUAAGAAGAUAAGUUUGUUUUGCUUUUGAAAAGAACUUAAACACUUAAAGGAAUUUAAAUAGGUAAUUGCACAUAAAGGAAAGUACAAAUUCACAAGAACAAUCUGAAUUGGUAAAAACCUAAUAUCCCCAGCAGAGUCACCAUGCUGUCGCGCCCCCUUUUUCCCUCUUUGCAUCGGAAAAUCGGGUUUAUGACAUUUUUGGGAUAGGACAACUCAUUCCUUUUGGAAGCUGUGUUUUGCAUUUGAACAGUCACCACCUAAUGAUUUAAGGUGCAUUAUAACACAUAUAAGGUUCACUACUAAGUUUGUUUGAUAACUACAGAUGGGGCAAGGGCUUGAAAUUAUCCUAAGGGGAAGGUGUUAGGCACCCCUCAGGAUCAAUUAGUGUCAUUCCCGCCCAGAUAGUUUUUUUUGGUGAAUUUGUGCAACUUAGAAAAUAAAAAAGUGUAGGCUCAAAUAGUAGGGGAUUUAAGUUUAAACACAUAAGAGUUUGAAAACAAUUACAAGGUGAAUUCAGAAGAGAAGUUACAAUUCUAUAAAUAUUCAAAGGAAAGGAAAGAUGGGGGGCUAGGUUUAUUUGUAAUAUGGAUCACAUCAAUGCGAUACCCGGUAUGGAACUCCACAAAAGAGGGGAUACACGUGGUAUUAGCACACCGGUAAUCAUAUCCAUAUCUACCCUUACCACCUCGUCGAGGUAUUAAAACGCGUAUUGGUCUCGACCACUAUUGUAUGCUAUUAACCGUCCCAUUCCAACCAGUUCUGGAGGAACUUAAGACUACUUUGCUAAAGCGAAGGGAUAUUGUGCUGACUUUUAGGUUUCAAAAGGUGAAAAAUCUAAUGCUACACACAUAACACAUAGGACUGCACGUUGGGGGGGGGGGAACAUGGAAACAACUAAAAGGCUCAUGUAUACCUCCUCAAGCAAAGCACAAAAAUAACAUAACUUAAACACAGUCAGGGUCUGAAUUUAAAGUACCAAGCAAAGGGAGUUUUAAUUGUUGAGGCAGACUAAUUAUUAAAUAACUCAGAUAAGAAGUCUGAAUCAGGCCUGCCUGGUGGUUGUAGCCAUUACUGAUUAACAAAAACGGGCUCGGUUUUAUUUAUUGUCAACCAAGGCUUGCCUAAUUGUUGGGGUAAGAUCCUAUAAAUAUGAAAUCUAUUACUAAUUCAGAAUGUGGAGAAGAAAUAAUAUUUUUAAAACGAGCGAUUUGAGAUCAAAUAGGCAUGCUUUUUAAACCAUGUAAAAUGAGACCAAUAUGUUGUAUUAAAAAACUAGUUCAGAACAGUAUGAGUUGAGCUGAUUUUAAACUAGACUGGUUUCAGAUCCUAUAGCCAUUUAUAUCUAUUAUUGGUAAUUUAAAUUCCAAUAGACAUGAUAUCUAGUUGAACAUGAAAUGAAGCAGACAUGAUUUCCUUGAAAUUCCUAUAGGCAUUAUUUCUAUGAAAAGGUACUGAUUUUAAUCUAUUGGACCUGAUGUCGGAUUAUAUUUAAUUGGACUCUAAGAACAUGGUGUCUAAGUGUGGUAAUAACUUGAAGAAUUUAAGACAUAUCCUAUAGGCAUGUUAUUUAAAUGCAGAAUUUAAAAUAGGUCAUAUAGGCAGGUUUUCUAAAUGCAGAGUUAAACAUGCAGACUAAAAAUGUGUUAUAGGUAUAUUAUUUAAAUGCUGAAUUAAUCAUAAAGAAAACAAGUCCUAUAGGGAUGUUCUAUACCCUUCUAUAGUUAACCAUGCAUAAUUACCCAUCCCUAUUCACUAACCAACCCUAAUAUUUAUUACAAAUUAUUAUAGACCAAAUACGAAAUUACAUCGAACAAAAGCAAAAUAGGAAGUUACAACUGUAGAAAUCCUGAUUUUGACUUCUUCUCUGAGUUAUGGAACAAACACCUCAAAUGCCACUUAUUUCAAAGCCUUUCUCAGACUUGAGUGUGUCAAAGUUUCCUAUGGGUAUCAAGGGACCUUGGGCAGUGCUUACACCCAAGUUUGCAUAACCAAAUAGAGAUAGGUGCAGUAUGGAAGGGCCAACCCUUAUGCGUCCAAGUUGAGAAGGUGCUCAUGGGUCCUAUUGGAAGGCUCACACAAGAGGGGCAUAACCUAAGUUUAUAGUAUUAUAGAAGUGCAGAAACAUAGAUUUGUUUAACAUUGGGUUGAGAGUGGUAAAAGGUAAGGGUAAUUGGAAAACAAUAGUUGUAAAUCUAACACUACACAGAAUCAACAUUUUUAUACAAUGGGGCUAGGGAUCUGGGAAUUCAUUGUAGGGAGAAUAUGACCUUAGGAAGGGGUUAGUUUAGGGCAUGCACAACAAUAGAUGGUGCUGGUAUGCCCAUAAACCAGCCACAAAACACAACACAGAAAGAUAUGAAGCAUAUUACUCUAGGGAGUGUCAGGUUUGGGUCAUGCAUAACAAUGUCUAAUGCUAACAUGCCCUCAAACCAACCAGAGAAUACAAAAACAUAGGCGAUAUGGGGGUUUGGGAUUCAUAUGUCAUAAUAAGUGACUUAGAGAAUUCAUACAUAAAGAAAACACAUUGAUUUACAACAUGCUUUAGGAAUGAAACUUGAUUAAACGCAAGUAGGAAACAGGCAAGAGUGAAGGAAAUAGUAAAGAAAACAUGUUGGUUUUUAUGCUUGAAGAUUAAUUAGUACAUACUAGUAAAGAAAUAAAUGCAGAAAGAAAAGUAAGAAAAUUUCCACAGUCUAUCCUUUGCUUUUAGUCGGCUAGACAAAGCAGCAAGCAGAAGUAGUAACAGAGAAAAUAGGGAGAGUUUUGAGUGAAGUAUGCGUUUUGAACUUAGAAGGUUUGUUCUCUUUUGGAAGAAGAUAGGCGUACAAUAUUUAUAGUUUAUUGAAAAUGAGUGAAAGAAGGGGUAAUAAAUAAAGUUUAACUACAAAUAUGGAAACAAUCAGUGGUCAGAAUUAAUUAUACAAGUGAUUCCUUUAAUUAAGAAAUCAUUGAUUAGGAUUUAGGUUUGAACGGGUCGUAACGGAUUCAAAUAAGGAAAGAAAUCAAUUUAGAGAAAAACGAAUUAUUGCCAUAAAAAGAGUAGUAAAAGCUUGCAAUGAACAAUCAAGUCUGAGUACGAGAAUAUGCUUAUUUUUGGAAAGGAUUUAGCAAGGUAAAUAGUAUAGUAAAGGGAAAAGAAUCGAUCAAUUCCAAACAGGCGAGUGAAAUUAGGGUUCAUAAAAGAAAGGCUUCAAAAUUAGUCACACGAUUAGGGUCAGUCAAAGAAGAAACAUGCUUCUGCACUUUAGUAUAUAAACAAAGUGAACGGAAGACAUCAGACAUGUAAGGCCAAGCACAUUGGCAAAAAAAAAACAUAGGAUUCAAUAGACAAUCAGUGCUCACACAUAUAGCCAAAGUGAAGAAGAGAGUCAAACAAAUAAAGGUAUCAUAGUAACAGGUGAGGAAAUCUUUUAAAAAGUUAGGGGUUCAGCCACAGUCGAGUUGAAACAUAGUCAAAAUCAGAUAAGUCACAUAAAGAAAAUAGAGUCAUGAAAAAGAACUUUCAAUCGAGUCAAGUGUUCAAACAAAAAAUUUCAGACCCAAAGACCUUGGGUUUUCAACAACAAUCGAGUUCAAAGAUGGCAAACAGAGAAGUCAAGCAAGAAUUGAAACAAACAAGCACACAUCUAACAAACAGCUUCAGAACUCAAUUGAGACCCAAAAGAAAUUAGGGAUUUAACAUGCUAACUCAGAUAGAAUAACAAAUGAACAAAACAUAGCAGAAUCCAAAAUACGUUAAACCCAGAGAAGACAUUUUUUGAAAUAACUUAAAGAAAAACCAAAUCAAAAAAAAAUAAAGAGGCAUUUGGAAAGCAGGUUAAAGAAUCUUCAAGAAACACUUAACAAAGUCAUAGCAAGUAUAGAUCUAAAGUAGAUCUAAAAGAAAGUUGAAAGAUUUUAAAUAUUGGAGUUUCUAAUAACCCAAAAAAGGUGAGAAAGGCCUUGAAAGAUAUAGAUCUAACUAGAGGAGUCAAGGAUCUGACUCGAAAGGCCAUGGCUGCCCGGAGAAAAGCCACAAAUUGAAAUUAAACAAGGAUUCGACUAGACUCCCUCAAGGCUGGCCGUGAAACCACAAGGACAAACACCAGGAGCCAUAUGAGGUCCCUACCCGCCUAAAAUGACCACGAGGCUCCAUGGAUUAGACAUGGCUUUGGGUGGAUAAGGGUAUAGUUUAAUGGCGGCAACUAGGGUACGUAAGAGUUUCAGAGAGAGUUGAGAGAAAAGAGGAAUUCAGAGGUGGUGGUUGGUGAGAAAUGAGGUAGGGUAAAGGGGUCGUUUGG